UCUCUAUUAACGAUACAACCGCCGACACCUAACCCUCCCAUUACCGAUACCAUGAUUGUGUCGUCCGAUAACAGGUCUUACGUUGCAGAUCCGAACAGAUUGCGGUUGUGAGGGAAGUUUGAAAUCACGCGAGCAAAAGCAGUAAGAGUGUCGUAAACAAGUUGAUGCUGAUGCUCAGGCGUUCGUGCCGUACAAAGGCCAUAACACAUGACGAAGUUGUCGUUACUUAAGAGGAGGUCGUCUCGCUCGACGGAGGAGGAGCUUGAUAGAAAAGAAGGAAAAGCAAAAUAGAACAAGGAAAGAGCAGAAUGACAAAGGAAAAUGUUUUCUUCUCUGUGAAUGUUUUGCUGCUUACAGGAAUACAUAUAUUGCUACUUGUGUUGUACUGUAGCAAAAGAAAACAACAGGAAAAAAACAAAAAUGGUUACAAUGUAAUUAAUUGGUCUUAAUACUCCCCCUCAAGAUGGAGAGUACAAAUUUAUUGUACCCAUCUUGCUCAACAAAUUAUCGAACUGCGUAGGAUGAAGGGCCUUUGUCAUUAAAUUUGCCAAUUGAUUUCGAGUGGAUAUGUGCAUCGUCUUCAAGGUCCCAU
rnacentral:lncRNA from 1 species